GCUGGGAUAGCUCAGUCGGCAGAGCGCAAGGUGAUUCAUCUGAGGGUCCUGGGUUCGAGUCCCGCUCUGGGCA